rnacentral:lncRNA from 1 species
GUAAAUCACCUGGAGAAUGCACGUGACCUGGUGAAUUGGAGUGUCACCUGGGAAGGACAUGUGGCUCGGUGAUUGGAUAUGUCACCUUGGCGAAAAGGUAGCUUUAGAUAAUGCAUGUGGCUCGGAGACUCGGUAUGUCUUUCUAGAGAAUGGAUGUGGCUCGGUGACAGAGUAUGGCAUCGUAAAAAGGGUCGGGUGGGACCAUAAAGCCACUAGAUCUUGAGAGGGUCAGAUGGGACCGUAAAGCCAUUAAAUCUUGGAAAAGUCGGAUGGGACCAUAAAGCCAUUGAAUCUUGAGAAGGUCGGGUGGGAC